rnacentral:rRNA from 1 species
UACAGGGGGUGCAAACGUUGCUCGGAAUCAUUGGGCGUAAAGCGCACGUAGGCGGUUCGUUAUGUCGGAUGUGAAAGCCCUUGGCUUAACCGAGGAAGUGCAUCCGAAACUGGCGAGCUAGAGUACGAAAGAGGAUCGCGGAAUUCCCGGUGUAGAGGUGAAAUUCGUAGAGAUCGGGAGGAAGGCCGGUGGCGAAGGCGGCGCUCUGGAACGUUUCUGACACUGAGGCUCGAAAGCGUGGGGAGCAAACAGG